rnacentral:rRNA from 1 species
UAAUGCUUGGGAAGUCUGACUUAUGGAGGGGGAUAACUACGGGAAACUGUAGCUAAUACCGCGUAGUAUCGAGAGAUUAAAGUGUGGGACCUUCGGGCCACAUGCCAUAGGAUGAGCCCAAGUGGGAUUAGGUAGUUGGUGAGGUAAAGGCUCACCAAGCCGACGAUCUCUAGCUAGUCUGAGAGGAUGACCAGCCACACUGGGACUGAGACACGGCCCAG